GGACAAGCCCGCUGUGUGGACAUGCUUGUGCUUGACGCUGUCAAGGAUUAGAGCCAACUCCUCCACUGGGUUACCCCCCGCACAGUGGCCUCAUUGUACCUACCUCCAAAUGGCAAGAUAAGGUCCCCAGAUACGGCGGUGGCCUGCGAGGCACAGUUGGUCACCCAGCUUUGGACGUGGCUCCACAAAGAAGGCAGUACACGGGAGGAGGCUUCAGUAGCCGCCCUGCGUCAGGGCCACGGGGCGUCAGCUGCACAAGACAUCACCUGAAGACAUGUGUCUGACAUCACGCCGUUUGGUAUGACUUCUGACAGAGGAGAGCAUCUUUCCGUUCACCCGGGAGACCCUCCGCUCAGCGAAGAUGGCCUACUUUGGGGGACUUGGAAACAGGCACAAGAGAGACUCUUCUGGGGAAGAAAUCCCACCUGUGCUAAGUGCGGGAAGGACAGUAGGUCAUCA
rnacentral:lncRNA from 1 species